rnacentral:lncRNA from 1 species
GGGUGAUCAAUUGGGCUCUGUCUGGGCACAAGUGAUGAAGGUGGACUCUCCCCCUCAGCAUGCUCCUCCUCCUCAUCAUCCUCCUCUUCGACUGUAGCUGCACGGCCCUUGGCCCAAUGGCCAUCCACUCUGACAAACCCCAUGCACCGAAGGGAGUGGUCAUUGUAGGUGUCAGUGUUUGACAAUCUACAAACAACCUCUCCCUCAAAGCUCACUUCAGACUCCCUAAAAAUCACUGUAAGAGCCAUACCAUAUGGCA